CGUGGAUAAUAAACGGGCAUCAAGUGUAUUACCGAAGCUAUGGAUUCAUGCAUUAUGUGCAUGUCUGGUAGGGGAGCAUUCUAUUUACGGAGAAGCGGUCUGGUAAUGGGCCGUGGAGUUGAUAGAAAAGCAAAUGUAGGCAUAAGUAACGAUAAGGCGGGUGAGAAACCCGCCCACCGAAAGACUAAGGUUUCCUGAUCAACGCUAAUCGGAUCAGGGUUAGUCGGGGCCUAAGGCGCAUCCGAAGGGAGUAAGCCGAUGGACAACUGGUUAAUAUUCCAGUACUUUUUAUAACUGCGAUGUGGUGACGGAGUAGUGACACUGCCGCGAACUGACGGA
rnacentral:ncRNA from 1 species